rnacentral:rRNA from 1 species
GACGAACGCUGGCGGCGUGCUUAACACAUGCAAGUCGAACGAGUGGCGAACGGGUGAGUAACACGUGGGUGACCUGCCCUGCACUUCGGAAUAAGCCUGGGAAACCGGGUCUAAUACCGGCGAGUGUGGGUUGGGCCCGCGGCUGAUCAGCUUGUUGGUGGGGUAAUGGCUACCAAGGCGCGACGGGUAGCCGGCCUGAGAGGGUGGACGGCCACAUUGUGACUGAGACACGGCCCAGACUCCUACGGGAGGCAGCAGUGGGGAAUAUUGCACAAUGGGCGGAAGCCUGAUGCAGCGAUGCCGCGUGGGGGAUGACGGUCUUCGGGUUGUAAAGUACUUUCAGCGGGGAGGCGUUACCCGCAGAAGAAGCACCGGCUAACUCCGUGCCAGCAGCCGCGGUAAUAC